rnacentral:rRNA from 1 species
CGCGUAGGCGGCAUGUUAAGUUGGCUGUGAAAGGCCCCGGCUCAACUGGGGUAGGUCGGCCAAGACUGGCAAGCUUGAGAGCGGUAGAGGAAAGUGGAAUUCCGGGUGUAGUGGUGAAAUGCGUAGAUAUCCGGAGGAACACCGGUAGCGAAGGCGGCUUUCUGGGCCGUUUCUGACGCUGAGGCGCGAAAGCGUGGGUAGCGAACUGAAUUAGAUACUCAGGUAGUCCACGCCCUAAACGAUGGACGCUAGGUGUAGGGGGUAUCGACCCCUCCUGUGCCGAAGCAAACGCAUUAAGCGUCCCGCCUGGGGAGUACGGCCGCAAGGCUAAA